rnacentral:rRNA from 1 species
CCUACGGGAGGCAGCAGUAGGGAAUCUUCCACAAUGGGCGAAAGCCUGAUGGAGCAACGCCGCGUGGGUGAAGAAGGUCUUCGGAUCGUAAAACCCUGUUGUUAGAGAAGAAAGUGCGUGAGAGUAACUGUUCACGUUUCGACGGUAUCUAACCAGAAAGCCACGGCUAACUACGUGCCAGCAGCCGCGGUAAUACGUAGGUGGCAAGCGUUAUCCGGAUUUAUUGGGCGUAAAGGGAACGCAGGCGGUCUUUUAAGUUUGAUGGGAAAGCCUUCGGCUUAACCGGAGUAGGGCAUUGGAAAGUGGGAGACUUGAGUGCAGAAGAGGAGAGUGGAACUCCAUGUGUAGCGGUGAAAUGCGUAGAUAUAUGGAAGAACACCAGUGGCGAAAGCGGCUCUCUGGUCUGUAACUGACGCUGAGGUUCGAAAGCGUGGGUAGCAAACAGGAUUAGAUACCCCGGUAGUC